rnacentral:rRNA from 1 species
AAAACGGAGAGUUUGAUCCUGGCUCAGGAUGAACGCUGGCGGUAUGCUUAACACAUGCAAGUCGAACGGUGUCUUCGGACACAGUGGCGGACGGGUGAGUAACGCGUGAGAAUCUGGCUCUAGGUCUGGGACAACCACUGGAAACGGUGGC